rnacentral:rRNA from 1 species
AUACGGAGGAUGCAAGCGUUAUCCGGAUUUAUUGGGUUUAAAGGGAGCGUAGGUGGGAUAUUAAGUCAGCUGUGAAAGUUUGGGGCUCAACCUUAAAAUUGCAGUUGAUACUGGUUUCCUUGAGUACGGUACAGGUGGGCGGAAUUCGUGGUGUAGCGGUGAAAUGCUUAGAUAUCACGAAGAACUCCGAUCGCGAAGGCAGCUCACCGGGCCGGAACUGACACUGAUGCUCGAAAGUGCGGGUAUCAAACAGGAUUAGAUACCCUGGUAGUCCGCACAGUAAACGAUGAAUACUCGCUGUUUGCGAUACACUGUAAGCGGCCAAGCGAAAGCGUUAAGUAUUCCACCUGGGGAGUACGCCGGCAACGGUGAAACUCAAAGGAAUUGACGGGG